UCUUCCCUUUUUCUGAAGAGCAGCACCAGCAAUCAUGAAGGAAGCUACUCACUGACUAGAGUAAGGGUGGUAGAAUCUGAUUCAUGCUCUUGGCUUCACUUUGCAGAUGAGCUGUGAAAAUAAAUGUGGAUACUGAAAGAGCCAGUACCAUUAAAGUGCCCACGAGGGUUUAAACACCAUGCAGAUUGUGUUGUUGCCACACACUGAAGAAAAGCCAAUUUUGAAUAAUUUCUCAGUAAAUGAGGCCUGCUUGUGCUGUACUCUGAAAAAGGGAAGGGGCUGGCCAUAGAAACUGAAACCUUGGAAACAUGUCUGAUUGCAGUGAGGACACUGGCCAACAUGCUCUAAGGAAUAUUUCUGAGGUGGCUGAAGACACUACCAUGCCUGUCCAUGCACCCUGCCCUUCUUCUGUUACUCACUUCAUCCCCAAGAGCAGUGAGCACUGAACAGUUUGCCUCUGGGGUGAUUUUGUUGAAACCUUGUGCUAUGCUUUGGGGCAGUUAAGACACAGACACAUGUUGUUCCUGCCUCUCCUAGAGGAUCUGCAAACCCAAGAGGGCAGGAGAGAUAGCCAGGAGACCAAUAACAUCUGAAAGUGUCCCUGCAAGGUUUUCCUGAGUCUGUCUGAUAAAAAGACCCUUAAUUAAGUUGGUAGAGUACAGUCAAGGGUCCACAGUCUCCUCUGGUAUAAAUCAGUACCUGGUGCUUUGGAAAUCCAUGGAGCUGUCAGGUUUACAGCAGCUAACCCCAAAAUUGUUCGUAGUUCAUAGUUCAUGCCCUGGUAAAUGUUUAGCUAGCAGAAGGCAAGGUUUCCUGUACGCUGUACUGACCAGGUGCAUGUCAGGACAGGGUGCAUCUUCUUCCCCGUAGAGCUGCAGGUCCGACCCAUCGACGCCUGCCCUCACAUCACCCUCAAGCAGAGCAGCCACGACCUUCCCCAAAGUGAUUUGCAGUCACUCAGGUAGUGGGCUGAAUGCAACGUUAAGGAAUUCAACUCAUGCCUAAUUAAGACGAUGCAAUCAACUGGUCCAUAAACACUUAAGGAUCUUCUUAAUAACUCUAUUUUUAUCAGCUUGAGUGCUAGACACUGUAGUGUGAGGUGAUCAUUAGUGCCAAUGUUUGAAGUCAAGGAAGUUUUUCCCUUCUGUAUUUUCCCUCAUGAGCAUUUGCUCUCUACUAACCCACUCCCUCUGCCAUUACUGUGCUGUGCUGGCUCCCGUUUGCUGCUAACAUCUAAUAUAAAGUAAUUUGCUCUAAAUUACUUUAAAAGUACGGAUGGCCAUGCUUCCAAAAAUACAGUCUUAAUAACCAGUUUCUAGGCACAAUUUUAGGAUAUGAGAAACUGAAAGAAGAAGAAGAAAAAAGAAUUAACUAGAAUUGCUUUAAGUGAAAUUUUUUUUUCUAAAGAAGGUUCUCAAGAGCUACUUUUUUUUUUUUUUUGGUGGGAAAAUGCAUGUUAUCUGUUUGUCUUCAUUUCUUAGUUCAGAAAUGGCUUUUUAGAUUUCUGAACACAUUUAUAAUAAAAUACAGUUUACAAAAUUAAA